AGGAGACUGAGGCCCAGGGAGUACUGAGCUUUGCUCCAGGGGAUACAAGUGGGGGAGCUGCUGGUCCAACCCAGGUCUGUCUUUUGGGAAGCAAGAGGCUCCUGGCAGAUGGACACACCAUACUCACCAAGAGCGCUACACUCCCCAGUCUCAGGCGUCCUGUUACAGGAGAGUACAAAAUGGAUGGAGACAAGCAUACAGCGAACUGAGCUUCACAUCCUGUUCAGACUUUGGAAGAUUUCAAAGGAAAUAUUGCUUUGCCUGGCUUAGCUGAAUU
rnacentral:lncRNA from 1 species